rnacentral:rRNA from 1 species
CUACCUAGUGACCGAUAGCGUAUAGUACCGUGAGGGAAAGGUGAAAAGAACCCCGGGAGGGGAGUGAAAUAGAACCUGAAACCCUGCACUUACAAGCUGUGGAAGCACAUUUCUUGUGUGACCGCGUACUUUUUGUAGAACGGGCCAACGAGUUACGUUAAGUAGCAAGGUUAAGCACUUAAGGUGUGGAGCCGUAGCGAAAGCGAGUUUUAACUGAGCGUUCAGUUACUUGACGUAGACCCGAAACCGGGCGACCUACCCAUGAGCAGGAUGAAGCGAAAGUAAAAUUUCGUGGAGGUCCGAACCCACGAGCGUUGAAAAGCUCGGGGAUGACUUGUGGGUAGCGGUGAAAUUCCAAUCGAGCCCGGAGAUAGCUGGUUCUCCCCGAAAUAGCUUUAGGGCUAGCCUCAAGGUGAGAGAUACGGAGGUAGAGCACUGAAUGUCCUAGGGGGUAUUGCACCUACCGAAGACUAUCAAACUCCGAAUGCCGUCAUCUUAUACUUGGGAGUCAGACUGUGGGUGAUAAGAUUCAUAGUCGAAAGGGCAACAGCCCAGAUCGUCAGCUAAGGUCCCUAAAUGUAAGUUAAGUGGUAAAGGAUGUGGGAUUGCACAGACAACCAGGAUGUUGGCUUAGAAGCAGCCACUCAUUCAAAGAGUGCGUAAUAGCUCACUGGUCGAGUGAUCCUGCGCCGAAGAUUUCCGGGGCUAAAACUUACUACCGAAGCUACGGCAUCAGUAAUGAUGGGUAGGGGAGCUUCCCAUACGGGUUGAAGCAUGACCGUAAGGACAUGUGGACAGUAUGGGAGUGAGAAUGUUGGCAUGAGUAGCGAGAUGUGGGUGAGAAUCCCACAGGCCGUAAACCCAAGGUUUCCAGGGGAAGGUUCGUCCGCCCUGGGUUAGUCGGGACCUAAGCUGAGGCCGAAAGGCGUAGGUGAUGGACAACAGGUUGAUAUUCCUGUACUACCGAUAACCGUUUGAGAGAAGGGAUGACACAGUAGGAUAAGCUAAGCACACUGUUGGUUAUGUGUGCCCAAGCAUUGAGGCAGUCAAAGUAGGCAAAUCCGCUUUGAUAAUGCUGGGAUGUGAUGGGGAGCGAAAUUUAGUAGCGAAGUAGCUGAUUUCACACUGUCAAGAAAAGUCUCUAUCGAGGUUAAAGGUACCCGUACCGCAAACCGACACAGGUGGGUGAGGAGAGUAUCCUAAGGCCAGCGAGAGAACUGUUGUUAAGGAACUCGGCAAAAUGACCCCGUAACUUAGGGAUAAGGGGUGCCACCAUCAGGUGGCCGCAGAGAAUAGGCCCAAGCGACUGUUUACCAAAAACAUAGGUUUCUGCUAAGUCGCAAGACGAUGUAUAGGAGCUGACGCCUGCCCGGUGCUGGAAGGUUAAGGGGAUCUGUUAGAGCAAUCGAAGCAGUGAACUUAAGCCCCAGUAAACGGCGGCCGUAACUAUAACGGUCCUAAGGUAGCGAAAUUCCUUGUCGGGUAAGUUCCGACCCGCACGAAAGGCGUAACGAUUUGGGCACUGUCUCAACAACAGACUCGGUGAAAUUGUAAUUCCGGUGAAGAUGCCGGAUACCUGCGACAGGACGGAAAGACCCCAUGGAGCUUUACUGUAGCUUGACAUUGGGUCUUGGUACUACAUGUACAGGAUAGGUGGGAGGCUUUGAAACCAGGACGCCAGUUUUGGCGGAGCCAUCCUUGGGAUACCACCCUUGUAGUACUGGGACUCUAACCAUAGGCCAUGAAUCUGGUCUUGGGACACUGUCAGGUGGGCAGUUUGACUGGGGCGGUCGCCUCCCAAAAGGUAACGGAGGCGCUCAAAGGUUCUCUCAGUACGGUCGGAAAUCGUACGUAGAGUGUAAAGGCAAAAGAGAGCUUGAUUGCAAGACAUACAGGUCGAGCAAGGAUGAAAAUCGGACUUAGUGAUCCGGUGGUUCUGCGUGGAAGGGCCAUCGCUCAACGGAUAAAAGCUACCCUGGGGAUAACAGGCUUAUCUCCCCCAAGAGUCCACAUCGACGGGGAGGUUUGGCACCUCGAUGUCGGCUCAUCACAUCCUGGGGCUGUAGUAGGUCCCAAGGGUUGGGCUGUUCGCCCAUUAAAGUGGUACGCGAGCUGGGUUCAGAACGUCGUGAGACAGUUCGGUCCCUAUCCGUCGCAGGCGUAGGAAAUUUGAGAAGACCUGUCCUUAGUACGAGAGGACCGGGAUGGACGUACCUCUGGUGUACCAGUUGUCCUGCCAAGGGCAUGGCUGGGUAGCUAUGUACGGAAUGGAUAAGCGCUGAAAGCAUCUAAGCGCGAAGCCAACUUCAAGAUAAGAUUUCCCACCGCAAGGGUAAGACCCCAGAAAGACUAUCUGGUUGAUAGGUCGAAGGUGUAAGUGCAGCAAUGUAUUUAGCUUAUCGAUACUAAUAGGUCGAGGACUUGACCAA